GACAUACUUCCUCCGUUCGGAAUUAGUUGUCGCAAAAAUGGAUGUAUCUAGAUGUAUUUUAAUUCUAGAUACAUCUAUUUCCGAGACAAGUAAUUCCGAACGGAGGGAGUACUAC
rnacentral:pre_miRNA from 1 species